rnacentral:rRNA from 1 species
CCUACGGGAGGCAGCAGUGGGGAAUAUUGGACAAUGGGGGAAACCCUGAUCCAGCAAUGCCGCGUGUGUGAAGAAGGCCUGCGGGUUGUAAAGCACUUUCAGUAAGGAGGAAAAGCUCAGGGCUAAUAUCUCUGAGUCUUGACGUUACUUACAGAAGAAGCACCGGCUAACUCCGUGCCAGCAGCCGCGGUAAU